AGGAUUAUAUUUAAUAAUAAUAACUGAUCUGCAAUCAGUAGGUGCUAAACAAGCUAAUCUUA
rnacentral:tRNA from 1 species